rnacentral:rRNA from 1 species
CUGGGUGGAUUAGUGGCGAACGGGUGAGUAACACGUGAGCAACCUGCCCCGAUCUCUGGGAUAAGCGCUGGAAACGGCGUCUAAUACCGGAUAUGCACCAGAACGGCAUCGUUACUGGUGGGAAAGAUUUUUCGGUUCGGGAGGGGCUCGCGUCCUAUCAGCUUGUUGGUGAGGUAAUGGCUCACCAAGGCGUCGACGGGUAGCCGGCCUGAGAGGGUGACCGGCCACACUGGGACUGAGACACGGCCCAGACUCCUACGGGAGGCAGCAGUGGGGAAUAUUGCACAAUGGGCGCAAGCCUGAUGCAGCAACGCCGCGUGAGGGAUGACGGCCUUCGGGUUGUAAACCUCUUUUAGUAGGGAAGAAGCCUUCGGGUGACGGUACCUGCAGAAAAAGCACCGGCUAACUACGUGCCAGCAGCCGCGGUAAUACGUAGGGUGCAAGCGUUAUCCGGAAUUAUUGGGCGUAAAGAGCUCGUAGGCGGUUUGUCGCGUCUGCUGUGAAAACUGGAGGCUCAACCUCCAGCUUGCAGUGGGUACGGGCAGACUAGAGUGCGGUAGGGGAGAUUGGAAUUCCUGGUGUAGCGGUGGAAUGCGCAGAU